rnacentral:rRNA from 1 species
GGGUGGUAAUACCGGAUGCUCCGACUCCUCGCAUGGGGUGUCGGGAAAGAUUUCAUCGGUAUGGGAUGGGGUCGCGUCCUAUCAGGUAGUCGGCGGGGUAACGGCCCACCGAGCCUACGACGGGUAGCCGGCCUGAGAGGGCGACCGGCCACAUUGGGACUGAGAUACGGCCCAGACUCCUACGGGAGGCAGCAGUGGGGAAUAUUGCACAAUGGGCGCAAGCCUGAUGCAGCGACGCCGCGUGCGGGAUGACGGCCUUCGGGUUGUAAACCGCUUUUGAUCGGGAGCAAGCCUUCGGGUGAGUGUACCUUUCGAAUAAGCACCGGCUAACUACGUGCCAGCAGCCGCGGUAAUACGUAGGGUGCAAGCGUUAUCCGGAAUUAUUGGGCGUAAAGGGCUCGUAGGCGGUUCGUCGCGUCCGGUGUGAAAGUCCAUCGCUUAACGGUGGAUCUGCGCCGGGUACGGGCGGGCUGGAGUGCGGUAGGGGAGACUGGAAUUCCCGGUGUAACGGUGGAAUGUGUAGAUAUCGGGAAGAACACCA